GAUGAACGCUAGCUACAGGCUUAACACAUGCAAGUCGCGGGACCGGCGCACGGGUGAGUAACGCGUCUCCAACCUGCCCUUCACCACGGGAUAACCCGGCGAAAGUCGGACUAAUACCGUAUGGAGCAGGGUGGGGAUGCGUCCGAUGGGCUUGAAGGCGGGGUAACAGCCCACCGUGGCUACGGUCGGUGGGGGUGAUGAGAGGAAGGUCCCCCACACUGGAACUGAGACACGGUCCAGACUCCUACGGGAGGCAGAAGUGAGGAAUAUGGGUGAAUGGGCGUAAGCCUGAACCAGCCAAGUAGCGUGCAGGACGACGGCCUAUGGGUUGUAAACUGCUUUUAUGCGGGGAUAGGUACCGCAUGAAUAAGGACCGGCUAAUUCCGUGCCAGCAGCCGCGGUAAUAC
rnacentral:rRNA from 1 species